ACAGGGUGAUGCAAUCUGAGUCUGUGUGGCUCCAACCACGUAGCCCAGACCCCAGGCAGCUCGACACCGCUUCACCUGGUGAAGGCCGAGCCGCUGAACGGCCCAGGCAGAGUCAGCCACAACACAAAACAGCUUCAACAUUAAGGUUUGAUCGGGACACAGACUGGCCCUGCAGAGGCUCUACCGGCGGCCACCUCUUGAGACUGAAGCUGGGGAGGACAAUUUUGUAGAUUUCUUCCUUACCAAGAACAGAAAAGAGGAGGCAUGUUGGGAAGCGCUGCACUUCUGGAAAAGGCUGGAUAAACAGUGGGGCUGACUGUGGAAGUGCUCAGAGCCAAGUCAGGGAGUUUAAG